CAGGCUGGCCGGGCGACCGCGUCGUCCCGAACGAGAGGGAGGGACGCCGAGGAAGGUCCGGGCUCCACAGGGCAGCGUGGUGGGUAACGCCCACCCGGGGUGACCCGCGGGACAGUGCCACAGAGAGCAGACCGCCUCCCCGCGCGAGCGGGGCGGUGAGGGUGAAAGGGUGGGGUAAGAGCCCACCAGCGACCGGGGUGACCCGGCCGGCUAGGCAAACCCCACGCGGAGCAAGGUCGAACAGCACACGCUCGAGGGCGGCCCGCCCGAGUGUGCGGGUAGACCGCUGGAGCCCAUCGGCGACGGUGGGCCGAGAUGGAUGGUCGCCCCCCGACGACCCGCGAGGGUCCCGGGGACAGAACCCGGCCUACAGGCCAGCCUGUCCG
rnacentral:RNase_P_RNA from 1 species